AAUAAAGUGCCUGAAAAAGGGGUAUCUUGAUAGGAUACAUCAUACACUAAAUACGUGUCUUUAUUA
rnacentral:tRNA from 1 species